rnacentral:rRNA from 1 species
GUAACAAGGUCUCCGUUGGUGAACCAGCGGAGGGAUCAUUACUGAGUUACCGCUCUAUAACCCUUUGUGAACAUACCUAACUGUUGCUUCGGCGGGCAGGGGGUGCCGCCUGCGGACCCCCCUCCCGGCCCUGCCCUCACGGGCGGAGCGCCCGCCGGAGGAUACCAAACUCUAUUUUAACGACGUUUCUUCUGAGUGGCACAAGCAAAUAAUUAAAACUUUCAACAACGGAUCUCUUGGUUCUGGCAUCGAUGAAGAACGCAGCGAAAUGCGAUAAGUAAUGUGAAUUGCAGAAUUCAGUGAAUCAUCGAAUCUUUGAACGCACAUUGCGCCCGCCAGCAUUCUGGCGGGCAUGCCUGUUCGAGCGUCAUUUCAACCCUCAAGCUCUGCUUGGUGUUGGGGCCCUACGGUUGACGUAGGCCCUUAAAGGUAGUGGCGGACCCUCUCGGAGCCUCCUUUGCGUAGUAACUAACGUCUCGCACUGGGAUUCGGAGGGACUCUUGCCGUAAAACCCCCAAAUUUUUAAAGGUUGACCUCGGAUCAGGUAGGAAUACCCGCUGAACUUAAGCAUAUCAAUAG